rnacentral:lncRNA from 1 species
GUUUUGUUAUAUGCCGGGUAAUAAAAAGAGUUUUACUGCUGCUUGCUCAAUGUGCAGUGGCAUUUACAUGAUGAUGCUCAUUCUUUUCAUGUUUUGCAGACUAGUAAAACAGUCAGUUGUGAAUUAUUAACACAACUUCAUUUAUAAGAAAGGUAACAAACUGAGUUUCUGAGGUAUACUGGUAAGAAUUCAAAGUUUAAACUUCAGUGACCUCUGGCCUGUUUAUGUAAGCUUAAUUUAAGGAAGUAAUGUCCUUGAUAAAGUCAUCUGAAGCACAUGACUUCUUGUCUCAAUAGAGAAAUAUAAUCUUCCCUCUUAUCUUGUACUUCUCUAGUACAAGGGGCUCUUGUAAAAUUACAUUUUCGACUGGUACAGAAAAUAACAUACUUGAGAUGAAUAGAAAUUCGUAAGACUUCUUAAAACUAGC